UGCCGUCCGGUAUGGUUUGGAAUUGGAAACAAUCCAAAACGUUGUUUUUGACGUUGGAAGCCUAACCCGGACGGCGUU
rnacentral:sRNA from 12 species